rnacentral:rRNA from 1 species
GACGAACGCUGGCGGCGUGCUUAACACAUGCAAGUCGAACGGAAAGGCCCUGCUUUUGUGGGGUGCUCGAGUGGCGAACGGGUGAGUAACACGUGAGUAACCUGCCCUUGACUUUGGGAUAACUUCAGGAAACUGGGGCUAAUACCGGAUAGGAGCUCCUGCUGCAUGGUGGGGGUUGGAAAGUUUCGGCGGUUGGGGAUGGACUCGCGGCUUAUCAGCUUGUUGGUGGGGUAGUGGCUUACCAAGGCUUUGACGGGUAGCCGGCCUGAGAGGGUGACCGGCCACAUUGGGACUGAGAUACGGCCCAGACUCCUACGGGAGGCAGCAGUGGGGAAUAUUGCACAAUGGGCGGAAGCCUGAUGCAGCAACGCCGCGUGCGGGAUGACGGCCUUCGGGUUGUAAACCGCUUUCGCCUGUGACGAAGCGUGAGUGACGGUAAUGGGUAAAGAAGCACCGGCUAACUACGUGCCAGCAGCCGCGGUGAUACGUAGGGUGCGAGCGUUGUCCGGAUUUAUUGGGCGUAAAGGGCUCGUAGGUGGUUGAUCGCGUCGGAAGUGUAAUCUUGGGGCUUAACCCUGAGCGUGCUUUCGAUACGGGUUGACUUGAGGAAGGUAGGGGAGAAUGGAAUUCCUGGUGGAGCGGUGGAAUGCGCAGAUAUCAGGAGGAACACCAGUGGCGAAGGCGGUUCUCUGGGCCUUUCCUGACGCUGAGGAGCAAAAGCGUGGGGAGCGAACAGGCUUAGAUACCCUGGUAGUCCACGCUGUAAACGGUGGGUACUAGGUGUGGGGUCCAUUCCACGGGUUCCGUGCCGUAGCUAACGCUUUAAGUACCCCGCCUGGGGAGUACGGCCGCAAGGCUAAAACUCAAAGGAAUUGACGGGGCCCCGCACAAGCGGCGGAGCAUGCGGAUUAAUUCGAUGCAACGCGUAGAACCUUACCUGGGUUUGACAUGGAUCGGGAGUGCUCAGAGAUGGGUGUGCCUCUUUUGGGGUCGGUUCACAGGUGGUGCAUGGCUGUCGUCAGCUCGUGUCGUGAGAUGUUGGGUUAAGUCCCGCAACGAGCGCAACCCUUGUUCACUGUUGCCAGCACGUUAUGGUGGGGACUCAGUGGAGACCGCCGGGGUCAACUCGGAGGAAGGUGGGGAUGACGUCAAGUCAUCAUGCCCCUUAUGUCCAGGGCUUCACGCAUGCUACAAUGGCUGGUACAGAGAGUGGCGAGCCUGUGAGGGUGAGCGAAUCUCGGAAAGCCGGUCUCAGUUCGGAUUGGGGUCUGCAACUCGACCUCAUGAAGUCGGAGUCGCUAGUAAUCGCAGGUCAGCAACGCUGCGGUGAAUACGUUCCCGGG